GAUGAACGCUGGCGGCGUGCCUAAUACAUGCAAGUCGAGCGAACGGACGAGAAGCUUGCUUUUCUGAUGUUAGCGGCGGACGGGUGAGUAACACGUGGAUAACCUACCUAUAAGACUGGGAUAACUUCGGGAAACCGGAGCUAAUACCGGAUAAUAUUUUGAACCGCAUGGUUCAAAAGUGAAAGACGGUCUUGCUGUCACUUAUAGAUGGAUCCGCGCUGCAUUAGCUAGUUGGUAAGGUAACGGCUUACCAAGGCAACGAUGCAUAGCCGACCUGAGAGGGUGAUCGGCCACACUGGAACUGAGACACGGUCCAGACUCCUACGGGAGGCAGCAGUAGGGAAUCUUCCGCAAUGGGCGAAAGCCUGACGGAGCAACGCCGCGUGAGUGAUGAAGGUCUUCGGAUCGUAAAACGCUGUUAUUAGGGAAGAACAUAUGUGUAAGUAACUGUGCACAUCUGGACGGUACCUAAUCAGAAAGCCACGGCUAACUACGU
rnacentral:rRNA from 1 species